CUACGGGUGGCACCAGUGAGGAAUAUUGCACAAUGGGGGGAACCCUGAUGCAGCAACGCCGCGUGGAGGAUGACGCAUUUCGGUGUGUAAACUCCUUUUAUAUGUCAAGAAAAUGACGGUAGCAUAUGAAUAAGCACCGGCUAACUCCGUGCCAGCAGCGCGCGGUAAUACGGAGGGUGCAAGCGUUACUCGGAAUCACUGGGCGUAAAGGACGCGUAGGCGGGUUAUCAAGUCAGGUGUGAAAUCCUACAGCUUAACUGUAGAACUGCACUUGAAACUGGUAACCUAGAGUAUGGGAGGGGCAGAUGGAAUUAGUGGUGUAGGGGUAAAAUCCGUAGAUAUCACUAGGAAUACCUAAAGCGAAGGCGAUCUGCUGGAACAUAACUGACGCUAAGGCGUGAAAGCGUGGGGAGCAAACAGGAUUAGAUACCCGAGUAGUC
rnacentral:rRNA from 1 species